AUUGGACGCUGGCGGCAGGCCUAACACAUGCAAGUCGAACGGUAACAGGAAGCAGCUUGCUGCUUCGCUGACGAGUGGCGGACGGGUGAGUAAUGUCUGGGAAGCUGCCUGAUGGAGGGGGAUAACUACUGGAAACGGUAGCUAAUACCGCAUAAUGUCGCAAGACCAAAGAGGGGGACCUUCGGGCCUCUUGCCAUCGGAUGUGCCCCGAUGGGAUUAGCUUGUUGGUGGGGUAACGGCUCACCAAGGCGACGAUCCCUAGCUGGCCUGAGAGGAUGACCAGCCACACUGGGACUGAGACACGGUCCAGACUCCUACGGGAGGCAGCAGUGGGGAAUAUUGCACAAUGGGCGCAAGCCUGAUGCAGCCAUGCCGCGUGUAUGAAGAAGGCCUUCGGGUUGUAAAGUACUUUCAGCGGGGAGGAAGGGAGUAAAGUUAAUACCUUUGCUCAUUGACGUUACCCGCAGAAGAAGCACCGGCUAACUCCGUG
rnacentral:rRNA from 1 species